rnacentral:rRNA from 1 species
AGUAACACGUGGGUAACCUGCCCUGUACUCUGGGAUAAGCCUUGGAAACGAGGUCUAAUACCGGAUACGACUUCUGAUCGCAUGAUCGGGAGUGGAAAGUUCCGGCGGUAUGGGAUGGACCCGCGGCCUAUCAGCUUGUUGGUGGGGUAAUGGCCUACCAAGGCGACGACGGGUAGCCGGCCUGAGAGGGCGACCGGCCACACUGGGACUGAGACACGGCCCAGACUCCUACGGGAGGCAGCAGUGGGGAAUAUUGGACAAUGGGGGCAACCCUGAUCCAGCCAUGCCGCGUGAGUGACGAAGGCCUUAGGGUUGUAAAGCUCUUUCACCGGUGACGAUAGUGACGGUAGCCGGAGAAGAAGCCCCGGCUAA